CAAUGUUUUAUGUAUCUUUUUAUUCACCUACUAAGCCUACUACUUCUCGCAUUUUCUCUGCGCGGUAUGCUUAUGGAUGAACGAAGUUAUUAAUAUCCACCCGCAAUAAAAAAACCGCGCAGAUGCGCGGUUUUUUUA
rnacentral:sRNA from 1 species